AUUGAACGCUGGCGGCAUGCUUUACACAUGCAAGUCGAACGGUAACAGGCCGCAAGGUGCUGACGAGUGGCGAACGGGUGAGUAAUGCAUCGGAACGCGCCCAGUCUUGGGGGAUAACUACUCGAAAGAGUAGCUAAUACCGCAUACGAUCUAUGGAUGAAAGCGGGGGACCGUAAGGCCUCGCGCGAUUGGAGCGGCCGAUGUCAGAUUAGGUAGUUGGUGGGGUAAAGGCUCACCAAGCCAACGAUCUGUAGCUGGUCUGAGAGGACGACCAGCCACACUGGGACUGAGACACGGCCCAGACUCCUACGGGAGGCAGCAGUGGGGAAUUUUGGACAAUGGGCGCAAGCCUGAUCCAGCAAUGCCGCGUGCAGGAAGAAGGCCUUCGGGUUGUAAACUGCUUUUGUACGGAACGAAACGGCUCUGGUUAAUACCCGGGGCUAAUGACGGUACCGUAAGAAUAAGCACCGGCUAACUACGUG
rnacentral:rRNA from 1 species